UACGUAGGGGGCGAGCGUUGUCCGGAUUCAUUGGGCGUAAAGAGCGCGCAGGCGGUCGUACAAGUCGCGUGUGAAAGCCCCUGGCUCAACUGGGGAGGGUCACGCGAUACUGUUCGACUCGAAGGCAGGAGAGGGAAGUGGAAUUCCCGGUGUAGUGGUGAAAUGCGUAGAUAUCGGGAGGAACACCAGUGGCGAAGGCGACUUCCUGGCCUGUUCUUGACGCUGAGGCGCGAAAGCUAGGGUAGCAAACGGG
rnacentral:rRNA from 1 species